UACGUAGGGCGCGAGCGUUGUCCGGAAUUAUUGGGCGUAAAGAGCUCGUAGGCGGCCUGUUGCGUCCGCUGUGAAAUCCCAGGGCUCAACCCUGGGCGUGCAGUGGAUACGGGCAGGCUGGAGGCAGGCAGGGGAGAACGGAAUUCCCGGUGUAGCAGUGAAAUGCGUAGAGAUCGGGAGGAACACCAGUGGCGAAGGCGGCCUUCUGGACCAAUACUGACGCUCAUGCACGAAAGCGUGGGGAGCAAACAGG
rnacentral:rRNA from 1 species